AUUGAACGCUGGCGGCAUGCUUUACACAUGCAAGUCGAACGGCAGCGCGGGCUUCGGCCUGGCGGCGAGUGGCGAACGGGUGAGUAAUACAUCGGAACGUGCCCAGUAGUGGGGGAUAGCUCGGCGAAAGCCGGAUUAAUACCGCAUACGACCUGAGGGUGAAAGCGGGGGAUCUUCGGACCUCGCGCUAUUGGAGCGGCCGAUGGCAGAUUAGCUAGUUGGUGGGGUAAAGGCCUGCCAAGGCGACGAUCUGUAGCUGGUCUGAGAGGACGACCAGCCACACUGGGACUGAGACACGGCCCAGACUCCUACGGGAGGCAGCAGUGGGGAAUGUUGGACAAUGGGCGAAAGCCUGAUCCAGCAAUGCCGCGUGUGUGAUGAAGGCCUUCGGGUUGUAAAGCACUUUUGGCGGGAACGAAAAGGACUGUGCCAAUACCACGGUUCGAUGACGGUACCCGCAGAAUAAGCACCGGCUAACUACGUG
rnacentral:rRNA from 1 species